rnacentral:rRNA from 1 species
AUGGAAGUGGAUUACGUGGAGCUGGUGAUGCUCUGGAAAAUCCGCCACAAUUUCCGUUCAGUUGUGGCCCCUAUCUUACUAGAAAUAGGAGAGCUUAGCAAUAGUUUUACUUUAUUUGAUAUUCAACAUGUAAACCGAUCGGCAAAUUUUCCUGCGCAUCUCUGUGCUAAACAUGCUUGCACAUUGAAUAUAACGGAUUGCUGGCUAGAGGACACUCCUAGCUUCCUUGUGACCAGUCUUUUGGCUGAUUAUCUGAGGAAUGCUUUUGUUUGA